rnacentral:rRNA from 1 species
CAGUACGGGAAUACAGAGGGUGCGAGCGUUAAUCGGAUUUACUGGGCGUAAAGCGUGCGUAGGCGGCUUUUUAAGUCGGAUGUGAAAUCCCUGAGCUUAACUUAGGAAUUGCAUUCGAUACUGGGAAGCUAGAGUAUGGGAGAGGAUGGUAGAAUUCCAGGUGUAGCGGUGAAAUGCGUAGAGAUCUGGAGGAAUACCGAUGGCGAAGGCAGCCAUCUGGCAUAAUACUGACGCUGAGGUACGAAAGCAUGGGGAGCAAACAGGAUUAGAUACCCCUGUAGUCCCUGUCUCUUAUACACAU